UCUUUUCUCCUUGUGGACUUUACACUUGAUGUAGGUGGUGACAAUAGGCUAUUUGCUGGAGCAAUCGUUGCAUCGUAGCUGGUUGUUGUGUUGUUAUUGGAUUGAUUUUGGUAUUUCUUUGGAUGAAAGGUUGCUUAGGAGGAAAAGACCUUAUGGACAAAGGUUUAUGAAUGGAUUAAAAUCUGAGUUGUCCAUCAAUUUGAGCUGUGAAAGAUGAUAAAUGAUAUGAAGACACGACAGGCUCAAUUAGAGGAAAUAUUGCAUACCCUCAUGUCACAGUAGCCCCAAUCACAUCCUCAGUGAUUUUUUUACAAAUUGGUGCUAUCUUCCCAGGCCUCACCACAUUAUCGAUGACGCACAUUUCUUUUCUUUUUUUUAUUAAU